rnacentral:misc_RNA from 1 species
ACCCUAUUACUUUGUGUAACAUAUUUUGAUCGAGACUCCACGUAAGGGGUUGAAGAUGGUUGGCCUGCCUCAAAGUUAGUUUCAGAUAUAGGCCUGUAUGAAGGAGCUGAAGAAGAGACCUCUGGGAAAGCCCGUUGGAAAGGAUAAGUGACCCUAUUACUUUGUGUAACAUAUUUUGAUCGAGACUCCACGUAAGGGGUUGAAGAUGGUUGGCCUGCCUCAAAGUUAGUUUCAGAUAUAGGCCUGUAUGAAGGAGCUGAAGAAGA